UACAGAGGGUGCGAGCGUUGUUCGGAAUUACUGGGCGUAAAGCGCGCGCAGGCGGCCCUUUAAGUCCGCUGGUCAAAGACCGGGGCUCAACCCCGAGUCAGCCAGGGAUACUGGAGGGCUGGAGACAGGUAGAGGCAAGCGGAAUUCCGGGUGUAGCGGUGGAAUGCGCAGAUAUCAGGAGGAACACCGAUGGCGAAGGCAGGUCUCUGGGCCACUACUGACGCUGAGAAGCGAAAGCAUGGGGAGCGAACAGG
rnacentral:rRNA from 1 species